UACGGCGACUAUAUCCCUGGUGUUCACCUCUUCCCAUUCCGAACAGAGUCGUUAAGCCCAGGAGAGCCGAUGGUACUGCUUUAUUGCGGGAGAGUAGGUCGUCGCCGAGU
rfam:Chlorobium tepidum TLS, complete genome.